rnacentral:tRNA from 1 species
GGGUUGCUAACUCAACGGUAGAGUACUCGGCUUUUAACCGACUAGUUCCGGGUUCGAGUCCCGACUAGUUCCGGGUUCGAGUCCCGGGCAACCCA